UACGGAGGGUGCAAGCGUUAUCCGGAUUCACUGGGUUUAAAGGGUGCGUAGGUGGGCAGGGACGUCAGUGGUGAAAUCUCCGAGCUUAACUCGGAAACUGUCAUUGAUACUAUCUGUCUUGAAUAUCCUGGAGGUGAGCGGAAUAUGUCAUGUAGCGGUGAAAUGCUUAGAUAUGACAUAGAACACCAAUUGCGAAGGCAGCUUACUACAUAGUUAUUGACACUGAGGCACGAAAGCGUGGGGAUCAAACAGG
rnacentral:rRNA from 1 species